rnacentral:rRNA from 1 species
UAAUACAGAGGUGGCAAGCGUUGUUCGGAAUUACUGGGCGUAAAGGGCGCGUAGGCGGUCCCGUAAGUUCCGCGUGAAAUCCCCCGGCUCAACCGGGGAAUGGCGCGGAAGACUGCGGGGCUUGAGUUCGGGAGAGGGAAGCGGAAUUCCGGGUGUAGCGGUGAAAUGCGUAGAUAUCCGGAGGAACACCGGUGGCGAAGGCGGCUUCCUGGACCGACACUGACGCUGAGGCGCGAAAGCUAGGGGAGCAAACGGGAUUAGAUACCCCGGUAGUCCUGGCCCUAAACGAUGAAUGCUUGGUGUGGCGGGUAUCGAUCCCUGCCGUGCCGAAGCUAACGCAUUAAGCAUUCCGCCUGGGGAGUACGGUCGCAAGGCUG